GUCUCCUCUCAGCUAGGACUUUCUGUUUGCACAGCCGAGGCCUGCAGGGUACAUUCCAGAGGUGGACUUGGGGCUGGCCUUGAACUUCCAGACCCUCUCUCCCCUCUCUGGCCGGGGCUGGGGAAAUGUCAGCUAUUCUGAGGGCCUUGGAAGCUGGACUCAGUUAUUUUCGGCUUAUCCAAAUCCCUUGGGCUCAUUGAAGGUUAUGGUGGGCGGGGUAAAGGGGGCCUUCCGGCUACUCUUUCCCCGGCUGAAGAAGAAAAGGCUAAGGGACCCCAUGAGAAGUAUGGCUACAAUUCCUACCUCAGUGAAAAAAUUUCACUGGACCGUUCCAUUCCGGAUUAUCGUCCCACCAAGUGUAAGGAGCUCAAGUACUCCAAGGACCUGCCCCAGAUAUCCAUCAUAUUCAUCUUCGUGAACGAGGCCCUGUCGGUGAUCCUGCGGUCCGUGCACAGUGCCGUCAAUCACACACCCACACACCUGCUGAAGGAAAUCAUUCUGGUGGAUGACAACAGCGACGAAGAGGAGCUGAAGGUCCCCCUGGAGGAGUAUGUCCACAAACGCUACCCCGGGCUGGUGAAGGUGGUGAGAAAUCAGAAGAGGGAAGGCCUGAUCCGCGCUCGCAUUGAGGGCUGGAAGGUGGCCACUGGGCAGGUCACUGGCUUCUUUGAUGCCCACGUGGAAUUCACCGCUGGCUGGGCUGAGCCAGUUCUAUCCCGCAUCCAGGAAAACCGGAAGCGUGUGAUCCUCCCCUCCAUUGACAACAUCAAACAGGACAACUUUGAGGUGCAGCGGUACGAGAACUCGGCCCACGGGUACAGCUGGGAGCUGUGGUGCAUGUACAUCAGCCCCCCAAAAGACUGGUGGGACGCCGGAGACCCUUCUCUCCCCAUCAGGACCCCAGCCAUGAUAGGCUGCUCGUUCGUGGUCAACAGGAAGUUCUUCGGUGAAAUUGGUCUUCUGGAUCCUGGCAUGGAUGUAUACGGAGGAGAAAAUAUUGAACUGGGAAUCAAGGUAUGGCUCUGUGGGGGCAGCAUGGAGGUCCUUCCUUGCUCACGGGUGGCCCACAUUGAGCGGAAGAAGAAGCCAUAUAAUAGCAACAUUGGCUUCUACACCAAGAGGAAUGCUCUUCGUGUUGCUGAGGUCUGGAUGGACGAUUACAAGUCUCAUGUGUACAUAGCGUGGAACCUGCCGCUGGAGAAUCCGGGAAUUGACAUCGGUGAUGUCUCCGAAAGAAGAGCAUUAAGGAAAAGUUUAAAGUGUAAGAAUUUCCAGUGGUACCUGGACCAUGUUUACCCAGAAAUGAGAAGAUACAAUAAUACCGUUGCUUACGGGGAGCUUCGCAACAACAAGGCAAAAGACGUCUGCUUGGACCAGGGGCCGCUGGAGAACCACACAGCAAUAUUGUAUCCGUGCCAUGGCUGGGGACCACAG
rnacentral:sRNA from 1 species